rnacentral:lncRNA from 1 species
AUACAAAAAAAAAUGCUCAGUAUCACUAAUUAUCAGGAAGUGUAAAUUCAAACCACAAUGAGAUACCAUCUUACGUUAGUCAGAAUGGCUAUUAUUAAAACAUCAAAAACAACAGAUGUUAGCAAGAAUGCGAAGAAAAGGGAAUAAUUAUGGGAUGCUGAUGGUAGGAAUGUAAAUUCACACAACCUUUAUGGGAAACAGCAUGAAGAUUUAUCAAAGACCUAAAAAGAGAAUGACCAGUUGACCCAGCAACCUCACUGCUGAAUAUCUACCCAAAUGAAAAGAAAUCAUUAUAUCAAAAAGACACCUGCAUUUGUAUGUUUAUCGCAGCACUAGUC